rnacentral:rRNA from 1 species
UCGAGAAUAAUUCGCAAUGGGCGAAAGCCUGACGAUGCGACGCCGUGUGAACGAUGAAGGCCUUCGGGUUGUAAAGUUCUGUCGCCUGCGAACAAGGUUGUUUUGUGAAUAACAGAGCAAUUUGAGUGUAGUAGGAAAGGAAGCACCGGCUAACUCCGUGCCAGCAGCUGCGGUAAUACGGAGGGUGCAAGCGUUAGUCGGAAUUACUGGGCGUAAAGGGUGCGUAGGCGGGGAUGUAAGUCAGAUGUGAAAAACCAAAGCUCAACUUUGGCCCUGCAUCUGAAACUGCAUUUCUGGAGGGAUAGCGGAGAAAACGGAAUUCCACGUGUAGCGGUGAAAUGCGUAGAUAUGUGGAAGAACACCUGUGGCGAAAGCGGUUUUCUAGCUUACCCCUGACGCUGAGGCACGAAAGCAAGGGGAGCAAACA